AAUCAACGCUGGCGGCGUGCCUAACACAUGCAAGUCGAGCGAGAAAAGGGGAGCAAUCCCCUGAGUACAGCGGCGCACGGGUGAGUAACACGUGGGUAAUCUGCCCUGGAGUGGGGAAUAACACCGGGAAACCGGUGCUAAUACCGCAUACGAUCACAGAGUCUGCGGAUUUUGUGAUGAAAGGAGCAAUU
rnacentral:rRNA from 1 species